UACGAGGGGGGCGAGCGUUGUUCGGAAUUAUUGGGCGUAAAGGAUGCGUAGGCGGUUUGGUAAGUCUUAUGUGAAAUCUACAGGCUCAACUUGUAGUCUGCAUGAGAAACUGCCGGGCUUGAGUAUGGGAGAGGUGAGUGGAAUUCCUGGUGUAGCGGUGAAAUGCGUAGAUAUCAGGAGGAACACCUGUGGCGAAAGCGGCUCACUGGACCAUAACUGACGCUGAUGCACGAAAGCUAGGGGAGCAAACAGG
rnacentral:rRNA from 1 species